GAUGAAGAACGUAGCGAAAUGCGAUACGUAAUGUGAAUUGCAGAAUUCAGUGAAUCAUCGAAUCUUUGAACGCACAUUGCGCCUGCCAGCACUCUGGCAGGCAUGCCUGUUCGAGCGUCAUUUCAACCAUCAAGCCCUAGGCUUGCGUUGGAGCCCUGCGGCUGCCGCAGGCCCCUAAAAGCAGUGGCGGGCUCGCUAUCACACCGAGUGCAGUAGAUUACUCUUCGCUCAGGGCGUGUGGCGGGUUCCAGCCGUGAAACCCCCUACUUCUCAAGGUUGACCUCGGAUCAGGUAGGAAUACCCGCUGAACUUAAGCAUAUCAAUAAGCGGAA
rnacentral:misc_RNA from 1 species